GAGCCCGGCUUCCGACGUGCAGCCUGGCAGUGCAGUGGGGAACUUCCUGUGUGCCUUCUAUCCUGAUGACACCCCCUCACUGAAAUCCUGGUGUUGUUUCCACAGAGCUGUCUGGCCUUUUGUCCUUGAUCCUUGGUUAAGGAAAUGACCAACCAGUACGGUAUUCUCUUCAAACAAGAGCAAGGUAAGUAGCCUGCCUGUUUAAGCAAUUCAUCUGUGAAAAAAACUGUGUUGUCCCUGGUUUAAGACUUUUGUCAUGCUGACCAGACAUGCAGUUUUCAAGUAUACUCACUUUGCAGAAGAAUUGGCAGCUGAAAACAAAUACUCUUAAAAAACAGACAACAACAACAACAACAACAAAAACCUGAACAACCAGCUAAAAAAAAAAAGCAG
rnacentral:lncRNA from 10 species